rnacentral:rRNA from 1 species
CAGCGCCACGGUAAUACGGAGGGGGCUAGCGUUGUUCGGAAUUACUGGGCGUAAAGCGCACGUAGGCGGCUUGGUAAGUUAGAGGUGAAAGCCUGGAGCUCAACUCCAGAAUUGCCUUUAAGACUGCAUCGCUUGAAUCCGGGAGAGGUGAGUGGAAUUCCGAGUGUAGAGGUGAAAUUCGUAGAUAUUCGGAAGAACACCAGUGGCGAAGGCGGCUCACUGGACCGGCAUUGACGCUGAGGUGCGAAAGCGUGGGGAGCAAACAGGAUUAGAUACCCCUGUAGUCCCUGUCUCUUAUACA